UGUGUGAUUACGUGGUACUUGAGGAGUUAAACACCCUCCUGUUUGCGUAUUCGUGCUCGUGGGUGUACUUGCCCGUGUGGUAGGUUAACAUCAAUUUCAGGCAUCAUAAAAUGGUUGGAGGAAUGUGGCUUCGACCUCGGUUGAAGUGUUAUAGCCUUCGGCAGAUGUGGUGAUCGGGAUUGAGGAUUGCAACGGAUACCCUUUGGGGCUACCUGUCUGAUCUCUGGUGGUUACUCUGGUGCCGAAAGCUUGCUUACGGUCAUCAAAGUUGACUGCCAAUAGGUUAGAAUGGGAUAAAUUCGUUAAGGAUGUUGACGUA
rnacentral:rRNA from 1 species